rnacentral:rRNA from 1 species
UUACUGGGCGUAACGCGCGCGUAGGUGGUCUGUUAAGUCGAUGUGAAAGCCCCGGGCUCAACCUGGGAACUGCAUUCGAUACUGGCAGACUAGAGUGCGAGAGAGGGAGGUAGAAUUCCGAGUGUAGAGGUGAAAUUCGUAGAUAUUCGGAGGAACACCAGUGGCGAAGGCGGCUUACUGGCUCGAUACUGACGCUGAGGUGCGAAAGUGUGGGGAGCAAACAGGAUUAGAUACCCUGGUAGUCCACACCGUAAACGCUGUCUACUAGCUGUUUGUGGAUUUAAUCCGUGAGUAGCGAAGCUAACGCGAUAAGUAGACCGCCUGGGGAGUACGGCCGCAAGGUUAAAACUCAAAUGAAUUGACGGGGGCCCGCACAAGCGGUGGAGCAUGUGGUUUAAUUCGACGCAACGCGAAGAACCUUACCUGGUCUUGACAUCCUGCGAACUUUCUAGAGAUAGAUUGGUGCCUUCGGGAACGCAGUGACAGGUGCUGCAUGGCU